CAUAUAGCUCAGUCGGUAGAGCACUUCCUUGGUAAGGAAGAGGUCACCGGUUCGAAUCCGGUUAUGG
rnacentral:tRNA from 1 species